UACAGAGGUGGCAAGCGUUGUUCGGAAUUACUGGGCGUAAAGGGCGCGUAGGCGGCCAUCUAAGUCAGACGUGAAAUCCCCCGGCUUAACCUGGGAACUGCGUCUGAUACUGGACGGCUCGAGUUUGGGAGAGGGAUGUGGAAUUCCAGGUGUAGCGGUGAAAUGCGUAGAUAUCUGGAGGAACACCGGUGGCGAAGGCGGCAUCCUGGACCAACACUGACGCUGAGGCGCGAAAGCUAGGGGAGCAAACGGGAUUAGAAACCCCAGUAGUCC
rnacentral:rRNA from 1 species